GACGAACGCUGGCGGCGUGCUUAACACAUGCAAGUCGAACGGAAAGGCCCUUCGGGGUACUCGAGUGGCGAACGGGUGAGUAACACGUGGGUGAUCUGCCCUGCACUUUGGGAUAAGCCUGGGAAACUGGGUCUAAUACCGAAUAGGACCACGCGCUUCAUGGUGUGUGGUGGAAAGCUUUUGCGGUGUGGGAUGGGCCCGCGGCCUAUCAGCUUGUUGGUGGGGUAAUGGCCUACCAAGGCGACGACGGGUAGCCGGCCUGAGAGGGUGACCGGCCACACUGGGACUGAGAUACGGCCCAGACUCCUACGGGAGGCAGCAGUGGGGAAUAUUGCACAAUGGGCGCAAGCCUGAUGCAGCGACGCCGCGUGAGGGAUGACGGCCUUCGGGUUGUAAACCUCUUUCAAUAGGGACGAAGCGCAAGUGACGGUACCUAUAGAAGAAGCACCGGCCAACUACGUGCCAGCAGCCGCGGUAAUACGUAGGGUGCGAGCGUUGUCCGGAAUUACUGGGCGUAAAGAGCUCGUAGGUGGUUUGUCGCGUUGUUCGUGAAAACUCACAGCUUAACUGUGGGCGUGCGGGCGAUACGGGCAGACUAGAGUGCUGCAGGGGAGACUGGAAUUCCUGGUGUAGCGGUGGAAUGCGCAGAUAUCAGGAGGAACACCGGUGGCGAAGGCGGGUCUCUGGGCAGUAACUGACGCUGAGGAGCGAAAGCGUGGGGAGCGAACAGGAUUAGAUACCCUGGUAGUCCACGCCGUAAACGGUGGGUACUAGGUGUGGGUUCCUUCCUUGGGAUCCGUGCCGUAGCUAACGCAUUAAGUACCCCGCCUGGGGAGUACGGCCGCAAGGCUAAAACUCAAAGGAAUUGACGGGGGCCCGCACAAGCGGCGGAGCAUGUGGAUUAAUUCGAUGCAACGCGAAGAACCUUACCUGGGUUUGACAUGCACAGGACGCCGGCAGAGAUGUCGGUUCCCUUGUGGCCUGUGUGCAGGUGGUGCAUGGCUGUCGUCAGCUCGUGUCGUGAGAUGUUGGGUUAAGUCCCGCAACGAGCGCAACCCUUGUCCUAUGUUGCCAGCGGGUUAUGCCGGGGACUCGUAGGAGACUGCCGGGGUCGACUCGGAGGAAGGUGGGGAUGACGUCAAGUCAUCAUGCCCCUUAUGUCCAGGGCUUCACACAUGCUACAAUGGCCGGUACAAAGGGCUGCGAUGCCGUGAGGUGGAGCGAAUCCUUUCAAAGCCGGUCUCAGUUCGGAUCGGGGUCUGCAACUCGACCCCGUGAAGUCGGAGUCGCUAGUAAUCGCAGAUCAGCAACGCUGCGGUGAAUACGUUCCCGGGCCU
rnacentral:rRNA from 1 species